AUAACCAGAGGGAACCAUGCAUGUCGCGCCAGGGAAUGUACUGCUUGGUUACUCAGUCUGUUAUAGUGCUGAAGGUUACUUUAAGGAAAUCUCUGCAUUAAUUCCUUUAUUUCAGUAACUUGAGAACGGAUUGACACUGAGGACGAGCUUGGCUUAUUGAUUUCAUUGACAAGGAACAAACAAUCACUUUCCUCUACUAAGUGAGUUAUUCCAAGGUUAAGACACAGUUGUAGACCUCUCACAAGUGCAUCAGCUUCAAUGUGUUCCAGUUCCAAGAUUGUGGUUGCAGGACCACUAGCAGCCAAAAUUGUUUCUCCCACGUGGUCCCGUAAAAUGAUUCCGAUCCCAGACUUAUUUGAGUCAAAGAAUAGUGCACCAUAAAUAUUGAGUUUCAAUGCUUUCUUGGGUGGUGCGGACCACCUAUAUUUGUGGAGAAGGGAUCCAGGUAUACUGUUGAGGGGUGGACCUAAUUCAGAAUUGGAUUUUUUAGCUAAGGUGGUAGCAAUUACUUGUUGUGGUGGAAGGUUUAGCUGGUCAUGGAACAUUUUGUUUCGGUGAUACCAAAAACCCCAAGUGAUGAGUAUAAAUUUCGAUUGAGCAUCCUUUGAGUCUUUUGCCAUUAUAUCCAUAGCUACUUGCAUGAAAUCUCCCAGGUGAUCCUUAUUCUGUAGUGCUGGGAACUGUCUGGUUAGGAGAUGGCAAGUAGAAGGGCAAUUGAGCAGAACAUGGCCUAGGUCUUCUACCUGGUAGUCGCAAAAACAACAUUGAGUGGCAAUAGGGAUUCCUCUUCAAAUCAGAUUUUGUUUCGAGGGCAAGCUUUCUUUACAAGCUCUCCAAGCAAAAAUUAUUACUUUUUGGGGUAUCUAUAGACGCCAUAUAGUAUCCCAUUUUUUUUUUCUCAGUUGUAUUUGAAGAGUUUCCACGGUCUGGAGUUAGACAAUUCUUGAAGAAUCUAUAUGCACUACUAACAAAAUAAAGUCCGAUUUUUUCAUGUUCCCAUAACCAGAAAUCUUUUUCUCCCGAAGGGCUUGGAUGUAAUUUCAGUAUUGCCUCCACAAUUUUUGGAUUGAAUAGAGCCCUAAGUUUAGUCAGGUUCCACCACUUCAAGUUCAGAUCAAUCAAUGAAGCCACUGGACUUUCAAGUUGUUGAUUGUGAUGUUGUAAAUCAUUUACCAAGUCCCUGCUUAGAUUUUUCACUCCCGGGAUCCAGUUAUCAUUUAGAAUGUGUAUAGUGUGACCAUCACCAACAACCCAUCUUCUCCCUUGUAUCAGUAGAUUUUUAGCCUUCCAGAUUCCACACCAAGCAUAAGAGGGGUUACUUCUAAUAGAUGCUUUAAGAAUGUUAACUUUAGGGAAGUAACGAGCUGAGAAUAUUUUGUGACCUAAACUGUCUAUGUGUUGUAAUAGCCUCCAAGCCUAUUUUCUAAGCAUAGGUAUGUUGAAGAUUCCCAGCUCCUUGAAGCCCAUACCCCCCAUGGAUUUCAAUGUACACAUGGUAUUCCAGGAUUGCCAAUGAAUUUUUCGUUCCUCCUUUCUUUGGUCCCACCAAAAUCUACUCAUCAUCCUUUCAAUUUCAGUGCAUAAUGUGGAGGAAAGUUUCAAGCAACUCAUAGCAUAGGAGGGGAUUGCUAAAGCCACUGAUUUGAGGAGGAUUUCUCUUCCCCCUUGGGAGAACAUACCACUCUUCUAACUUUGUAAUUUCAACCAAACCUUGUGUUUUAUUUCAGAGAAAGCUCGAUUUCUGGAUCUACCGAUCAUAUGUGGUAAUCCCAGAUACAUUUAAUAUUUCUGUAUUUCAGAAGCAUUCCAAAGAGCCAUAAUUUCUUGCUUC
rnacentral:lncRNA from 1 species